AUGGCUUCCGGCGCCGGUUCAUGCUUGGCCCUGGUGGUGCUGCUCCUCGCCGCCCGCGCCUUCCCGGCGGCCGCCACCAGCUUCACCGUCGGCGGCAAGUCCGGCUGGACGAUCGGCGUCGACUACACCACCUGGGCCAGCGGCAACACUUUCAAAGUCGGCGACAGUCUCGUGUUCAACUACGCCAAGGGUCUCCACACGGUGGCGGAGGUGAGCGCGGCCGACUACCUGGCGUGCGCGGCGGCCAACGCGGUCGGCUCCGACGCCAGCGGCGCGACCACCGUGCCCCUCAAGACCGCCGGAAAGCACUACUUUAUCUGCACCAUCACAGGCCACUGCGCUGGCGGGAUGAAGCUCGAGGUGACUGUCUCCGGCUCCGGCUCUGGCUCCUCACCGUCAACCCCGAUGCCCACCCCGACCACGCCGUACACGAGUCCGACCCCGACGACGACGACGCCGACCACGCCGUACACGACCCCUACAACGCCAUACACGACGCCGACGUCUCCAGCGUGCACUGGCACCACGCCUGGCGCGACGCCGCUGACACCGGUGUCCCCAGGCACCAUGCCGUUCUAUUAUUACAAUGGCGCCGCCGAGUUCCCGCCGGCGGCGUGGGCUAGCUUUUCUCUGGUUUGUGCCGCGGUUGUGCAGCUCGGACUGUUAUGA
rnacentral:rRNA from 1 species